UGGGGGAUAUUGCACAAUGGGGGGAAACCCUGAUGCAGCGACGCCGCGUGGAGGAAGAAGGUUUUCGGAUUGUAAACUCCUGUCGUUAGGGACGAUAAUGACGGUACCUAACAAGAAAGCACCGGCUAACUACGUGCCAGCAGCCGCGGUAAAACGUAGGGUGCAAGCGUUGUCCGGAAUUACUGGGUGUAAAGGGAGCGCAGGCGGACCGGCAAGUUGGAAGUGAAAACCAUGGGCUCAACCCAUGAAUUGCUUUCAAAACUGCUGGCCUUGAGUAGUGCAGAGGUAGGCGGAAUUCCCGGUGUAGCGGUGGAAUGCGUAGAUAUUAGGAGGAACAUCAGUGGCGAAGGCGGCUUACUGGGCUUUAACUGACGCCGAGGCUCGAAAGCGUGGGGAGCAAACAGGAUUAGAUACCCUGGUAGU
rnacentral:rRNA from 1 species